rnacentral:rRNA from 1 species
GAUGAACGCUGGCGGCGUGCCUAAUACAUGCAAGUCGAGCGAACAGACGAGGAGCUUGCUCCUCUGACGUUAGCGGCGGACGGGUGAGUAACACGUGGAUAACCUACCUAUCAGACUGGGAUAACUUCGGGAAACCGGAGCUAAUACCGGAUAAUAUAUUGAACCGCAUGGUUCAAUAGUGAAAGACGGUUUUGCUGUCACUUAUAGAUGGAUCCGCGCCGCAUUAGCUAGUUGGUAAGGUAACGGCUUACCAAGGCGACGAUGCGUAGCCGACGUGAGAGGGUGAUCGGCCACACGGGAACUGAGACACGGUCCAGACUCCUACGGGAGGCAGCAGUAGGGAAUCUUCCGCAAUGGGGGAAAGCCUGACGGAGCAACGCCGCGUGAGUGAUGAAGGUCUUCGGAUCGUAAAACUCUGUUAUUAGGGAAGAACAAAUGUGUAAGUAACUAUGCACGUCUUGACGGUACCUAAUCAGAAAGCCACGGCUAACUACGUG